rnacentral:misc_RNA from 1 species
GGGUUAUCCAACUUCAGAUUUCGCAAUCUUAAAUGACUCAGAGCUAAAACUCAAUUUGAAAAUAUUGAUAAAUUCAUGCUAUACUUGUAUCAUUUGUCAGCAAAACUAGAAAAGAUUAUUGUCCUGUUUGGUAUUACUAUUGAAACUGCCGCUGAGAAUAUCACUUUUUUAAAUAUCUCAGUUUUAAUCAUAAGAAUAUUAAAAUAACAAAACAGCUUUUUUCAAGCUGCUUUUUUUAACCGCAUCUAAAUAGUACGUUUAUUCACAAAAGCAAUUUGGGCUCUCCAAACUCAAUGCCAAUCAAGCACUUAGUAUAUUCACAAAAAUGAUAGCAAUAUUUUAUUUGAUUUAAGUGAAGACACCAAGAAGUGUAUAAUUUUGAAAUGCAUAUUGAUGUUUAAAACUCACAUUCAAGUUCCCAAAAAACUGAGCCAAAUUUGUGGUCUAUCUGUGUCAAAUUUCCACUCUAUAAAAUCACUUCACAAUCAUAAAAAGCCCAAGGAACAGAAGAAACUUCUGUGAAAUUGACCAAUUAAUGGAAUCCAUUAUCCAUGAUAAAUAAAAUAAAAAAAAAAUCAGGGAAAAGAAAAGUAUUUAGAAACACACUAAAUUUAAAUUAAACUUGUAGAAACAUAUUAUAGACACCUUUGGCAUUUCUUGUCAAUCACAACGUUUCCUUACCAACAUAGAUAAUAGUUACAACAUAAUGACAUAUGCAUCUGAUACAGUUUAGAUGGGUAAGACCAUACAACAGAUAAUAGAAGAAUCAACAUUUAGAAACCAUAAUACAACCAAAAUGCAAAUGCUUGCCACAAAUGUCAUUAACUUUUGUCUGCUGCAUUGCCAGGUCAAUUUAACUCUUAAACCCACCAUGUCCAUAGAGCAAUAAUAUAAACUCAAACCAUAUUACAACAGAAAGAACACUGGGAAAUUAAUCAAUCAUCCAAAUGCUUGGAGCAAGUAAUUUGAAUCAAGGGGGGAGAGAGAUAGCAAUAUCAUACAUUGGUCAAAGAAACAGCAAAUUCACACCAGUCAAUCAACACAUGUUACAAAGUGACAAUGGAAAUAGGCACAUUAACAAACAAGAAGAAUACGACGAAGUAAGAAUAAAGACAACAUGGCUCACCUUAGCCUUGGACAGGGUCUUGA